rnacentral:rRNA from 1 species
GUGGGGAAUAUUGGGCAAUGGGGGAAACCCUGACCCAGCAACGCCGCGUGAAGGAAGAAGGUUUUCGGAUCGUAAACUUCUAUCCUUGGUGAAGAUAAUGACGGUAGCCAAGAAGGAAGCCCCGGCUAACUACGUGCCAGCAGCCGCGGUAAUACGUAGGGGGCAAGCGUUGUCCGGAAUGAUUGGGCGUAAAGGGCGCGUAGGCGGCCUGGGAAGUCUGGAGUGAAAGUCCUGCUUUUAAGGUGGGAAUUGCUUUGGAUACUGUCGGGCUUGAGUGCAGGAGAGGUAAGCGGAAUUCCCGUUGUAGCGGUGAAAUGCGUAGAGAUCGGGAGGAACACCAGUGGCGAAGGCGGCUUACUGGACUGUAACUGACGCUGAGGCGCGAAAGUGUGGGGAGCAAACAGGAUUAGAUACCCUGGUAGUCC